ACAUCACAGGUCAUGGAGAGUCUCCACCCAGCUGGCUCACUGUCACAGGGAAACCCUCCACUACAAGUCCUCCUACAUCUACCUCUGGUCUUUCCUCCUCUUCCUCACCUAAACCUACCUCUGGUUCCCCUCCUGACUCCAUAUUACCAUCUGUGGUUUCACCUGUCUGUGUUCUGGUGUUCCUGGUGUUGCUGGUUCUACUGGUGAGACGAUUCAUCCACAGGACACCUAAAGCUGCUGAAGUUGGAGAUGAUGACAUCAGAGAUGACAUCACAUACAGUGAUGUCAAUAUAUCACGUAACCUACAGCAGCCAAUCAGACGGAGCAAAGAGAGCGAUCCAGCUGCCGUCUACUCAGCAGUGAGAAGAGCAGACGACAUCAGCUACGGACAAAUAGUCUUCAAAGACAUCAGAUCAAACAGGAAGAGAGAGAGCGAUCCAGCUGCCGUCUACUCAGCAGUGAGAAGAGCAGACGACGUCAGUUACGGACAAAUAGUCUUCAAAGACAUCAGAUCAAACAGGAAGAGAGGUACAGCUGUUUGUCUUUGUCUCCAUGGCUGAAUC